rnacentral:rRNA from 1 species
UCAGUCGACUCCUACGGGGAGGCAGCAGUGGGGAAUAUUGCACAAUGGGGGAAACCCUGAUGCAGCCAUGCCGCGUGUGUGAAGAAGGCCUUCGGGGUUGUAAAGCACUUUCAGUAGGGAGGAAGGUAGUGUAGUUAACACCUGCACUAUUUGACGUUACCUACAGAAGAAGCACCGGCUAACUCCGUGCCAGCAGCCGCGGUAAUACGGAGGGUGCGAGCGUUAAUCGGAAUUACUGGGCGUAAAGCGCAUGCAGGCGGCCUGUUAAGUCAGAUGUGAAAGCCCGGGGCUUAACCUCGGAAUUGCAUUUGAAACUGGCAGGCUAGAGUCUUGUAGAGGGGGGUAGGAAUUUCAGGUGUAGCGGUGAAAUGCGUAGAGAUCUGAAGGAAUACCAGUGGCGAAGGCGGCCCCUGGACAAAGACUGACGCUCAGAUGCGAAAGCGUGGGGAGCAAACAGGAUUAGAUACCCUGGUAG